AUACUUACCUGGCAGGGGAGAUGCUAUGAUCAAGAAGGUGGUUUCCCCAGGGCGAUGCUCAUCCAUUGCACUUCGGGAGUGCUGACCCCUGCGAUUUUCCCAAAUGUGGGAAACUCGACUCCAUAAUUUGUGGUAUUGGGGGACUGUGUUCCGGCUCUCCCUGU